CAGGCAAAUUUGACGGCUGGCGCUGCAGGUUGACUAGGAGUAGCCCCAUGGAUUUAACAGAGGCGGCGCUGUGUCGGGAUAGCUGGGCGGUGGGCAUGUGCAGAAUCAGAACUGUAGCGUCGGAAGGGAUCCCGAGGGUCAUCUAUUCCAACCCCCUGCAAUGCAGGAAUCUUUUGCCCAGCGUGGGGCUCGAAACCACGGCCCUGCGAUUAAGAGUCUCAUGCUCUAAUGACUGAGUUAUCCAAAGGGAAGCAGAACAUCAGGAUCCACCAGCCAGAACAAGCUGGGUUUCUGGGGGCCAUUACGGUCAAUUACACAUAUGUUCCCGCCGCCCUGUGUCUUUUGUCUAUGGAGUAAUGACGCAACCCAACCUGUGCCUUCCCCCUCUAUAAAUCCUGGGUCCCCUACUUUGUGGGGAAUCAGACAUCCAGCGGCUCCUGACAGGUUUCAAGAUGAUGUGGAGGUCUCAAUCCGUGCUCUGUGCUUCUUUGCUCCUCUGUGGGCUACUCGGGGAAUGCUGUGGAACCGUUCUGGUGCCCAAGGACAAACGUGGCUGGACCCUGAACAGCGCUGGAUACCUCUUGGGACAUCAUGCUCACCAGACACUGUCCAACAAAGGGAGCCUGGCGCAUAAGCGAGAUGCUACAGAGGACUUGUAUUCCAUAGGGCAGGAUUCCUUGGG